CUCUGAUAAAGUAGUUUCCCUUGAGGCAGGUCUCUUUGACCUUGAGCCUAUUUCAAAAUGGCUACUUUCCCCUCUUCCUGUCUGAAGCACUGGUCAGGUUUCUUCAGUCUUCACCAUAAGAACCUGGAGUUUCUUCAGGUUAAACCUGUGAAAGUGUAGGUGCUCCCCUAGGAGUAGGCCCCAGGAGGUUUUAAUGCUCAAGCCAUUCCACACUCAGCCUCCACCAAUUAGUCAAUUACCACCUGAGUGUUCCUACAAGUUAUGGCUCUAGCUAGUAAACUGACCUCAGCUGUUACUCUUUGUAUUUACUUGUCUCUCCAGUUUUUAAGGAAGCAGUUUGGCCUGUGGGAGUUCAGUUCCCGGAUGGACCUAAGAAGAGGUGUUGGCUUUCAGGUCGUGCAGUGGUGUUUACGUCCAAGAACUAAAACUAAAAGCACCAUUGAUAGAAAGAAAAGCUAAUUAUAACGGAGUACUUACUAUGUGGUAAGUGCACCCUGAUAAUCACUUUGCAUGCAUCAUUUAAUUUAAUCAUCACAUAGCCCUGUAAGUCAGGGCAUUGAGGAUUUUAGAGCUAAAAUAGUGACAUUUACCAAAAGAUGAAAGUAAUGCCUUGGGGAAAAUAUCUGGCAUAUUGUAUACCGAAUCAAUGUGAAAAAGUAAGAGAAGUGAGAAAACCAUUUAUGACACUGUUUUAAUGAUACAGGCAAGAGAAAUGAGGGUCUAAAUUUUGGGUAAUGAAAGUGGGAGAAGAUAAACAAAUAUGAAACAUUGUAGAAAUAGCAUAGAUAUUAUAUGGCAACUAAUCAUCGUAAGAGGGAAGAGAUGGUGAAAAUCAUUGAUGAAGCUUAGAUUGAGAACCUGGGUAAAAGAACAGUGGUGCCAGUGAGACCAUAGGGGACAUAGAGGGAACUAGAAGAAAGGGUGAAGAUGUUCUGUCAUGCACACAUUAAUGAAGUCGAUGGAGCUGUUCAGUGGGAAUAGUUUAGGCAUUGAGAAGCAUUGGCAAAAGCUCAGAGAAUCUUCAAGAUUGGGAAGAUAAUCUUAGGAGUUAUCUACAUAGAAAGCAAAACUAAGAUUGGAGUCAGAACUAACACAGGACAGAGAUGGGGUGGAGAGAGAGAGGCUCUAAGG
rnacentral:lncRNA from 1 species